CACAUCAGCGCGAUUUGAUGACGUGGAAAAAAAUCGCGCCCUCUAGGACGUGAUUUGUUGCCACGUCAGCAAAUCGCGCUGACGUGG
rfam:Gossypium hirsutum cultivar TM-1 chromosome 22, whole genome shotgun sequence